GGUAAUAACUUCCUGCAGAAUGAGAACCUAAAUCUAAAUUAUUUGUCUGCAUUGAUGCAAAACAUGAGCAAUCAACUGGGGAUCUGAGCCAACAUGUUUCUGAGAUUGAGGCCUAACCCACCUCCACAAAUCCAUCCCUCACAGGGAGAAAUUGAGACAGGGGGAUACCAGAGGACAACUAGAAGAAAGGCAGAAUUCUCAUCAAUCCCAGGAGUAACAAGACCACCCUCACCACUGUGUCUGUGGAAACCACUUGGGCGUAAUAAUGAAGCCUUUCUGUCCCUCCCAGCCAGGACACUAUCAACAGAAGCCUAGAGAGGAGUCAGAAUUUCUACCCUCAUCUAUUACUGGGAUAUUUUGGUGGUCCAGGCUGGGUGGAUAAUGGGCUCAACUGAAACCCAGUGGGGACCUGAAUUUUACCUUUUCCUAACAGUAAUGAGUUGGUGCCCUACCCCUGCCACUAUUACAGCAGUGUCAGAGAAAAUCAGCUAGAAACAUAAGUUUUUACGUAAGAUCUAGAAUCUUGUAAAAUAAUAAAUAGUAUGGGUUUAAAUUGAUAUCACUCAUUAUACCAAGAACCAGGAAGACCUCAAACUGAAUGAAAAAAAAUAAUAAAUUCUAUGAUCAAGAUGACAGAGAUAUUAUAAUUAUCUGAGAUUUUAAAGCAGCCAUCAUAAAAGUGCUUCAAUGAGCAUUUACAAACAUACUUGAAUCAAAAGAAAAAAUAAAGUUUUAGCAAAGAAAUAAAGGCUUGACAAAUAGAGAAGAUAUAAAGAAGAAAAAAAGGAAUUCGAGAAUCAAAAAAUGUAGCAACCAAAAUAAAAAUUAAAACCAAAAACCCUCAAUUAUAGAUGCCUAUGCAAAUUGAAAGAGACAGAGGAAAGAAUCAGUGAACUGGAAGACAGAAAGAAUAAAUUACCCAGUCUGAACAAUAGAGAAAAAAAGACAAAAAUUGAACAGAGCCUUAUAGCUCUGUGGGGCUAUAAUAAAAAAUGUAACAUUUUGUGUCAUAAUAAUCCUGGGAGGAGAGAAGAAUGAGGGAAGACUGAAAAAAGUACUCAAGGAAACAGUGCCUAAUAAGUUAUCAAAUUUGGCAAAAGGCAUAAAUUUACAAAUUCAGGAACCUAAGUGAACUCCAAAUGCAAUAGAGCCAAGAAAAUAUGCCAAGAUACAUCAUAGUCAAGUAUCUGGAAACUAAAGACAAAGAAAAUACCAUGAAAUCACUGAGAGAAAUAUCAUCAUACUUAUGAAAGAAAAAAAAUACACCUGACAAAGAAUUCCUCUUCAGAAACUUGGAUGCCAGAAAAAAGUGGGACAGCAUUUUCAACUGUUGAAAAGUGAGGAACUGCAACCCCAAAUCCUAUAUCCAGUGAAAAUGUCCUUCAGAAAUUAAAGAGUGAUCUGUUUAAGCAGAUUUUUAAUGUGUUUUAAAAUCUUCCUCAGAUAAUUCUAACAUCUUUUUCAUAUUGGUGGUGGAAUUUUCUUUUCUCAUUCAGACAUUUUCAGAUACAGAAAACCUAAGAAAAUCUGUCAUCAGUAGAAGACCUACCCUAAGAGUAGCUUAGGAUUACAUGAUAAGAGAAAUUUUAAAUUGGGCCUAAAAACAAAAGCAAGAUUUAAGUUUCAAAUAUUAUAGACUUCUUUUUUGAGAAUAUUGGAACAACAACAACAACAAAAUGAUAGCCUCUUAUCAGAGACUCAAACACCUUCCAACUCACUAUUCAACAUUCUCUGGGCAUGGGUUUGUUAUUCUCAACCCAAUACGAUUGGUAGUGCUAGCUCUGGUUGUCACAUGCAAGUUUCAGGCAACUAUACAGAGAAAGGGUGUAGAUAGGCACACCUUGGAAGAAUUAUACAUUUCUACUUCCGUAUCACUGAGCUGAUAUGACCACACUUAGCUGCAAGACAGGCUGGCUACUAUGGUCUGGGUUAGCAGCAAUGUGUUUAGCUACAGUUAUCUUUUAAGGAAUAAAAGAAGAAUAAAAAUUUGGAAAGAGUAUUUUUUGCCAUAAUUCUUACUCAAGCAUAGAUGGUUUCACCUUCUAUUUAUAGGUAAAAUUUAAAAAUGUAGCACAUAGAAAUAAAUAGCAUAUUCUUCUGAAUAAUUAUAUUACCUUUAGAAAGAUGCAAUGUUGUGUCAAGAUGUCAAUUGAGAUUGCUAAUUAAUUAUAGUCGUGUAACCAGGUGAAAACAAAAGAUUAGAAUUGAAAUGUGUAAAAUAUUGGUAUUAUACCAUUAUAGAUGACAUGUAAUUUUUAAGAUGUGCUAGAUAUUGUCUACUGACACUUGGAAUCCAUAUUCUACUGUCUUCUAUGUGCUUUGUUGUGUUGUAGAGAUUAGAAUGCUUAAAGCAUAAGGCUAGAUUUAUCAGACUUCCUUAUAAUUAAGGUUCUGGGUACAAGUUUCAUUGAUCCAAUUAGAUAUUGCUCACAAUAGGUUGGAAAGCAGAAGUGAGGUGAACAUAUCUUCCUGCAUUUGUAAAAAAAUUUCGUUAUAUAUAUUUGAUGUAUAAAGCAUGAUUUUUUAAUGUACAUAUAUAUGAGAAAUGACUACUAAAAUCAAGCUAAUUAACAUCCAUUUAUUCACAUAAUUCCCUUUUUUAUUAUUUUGUGGUAAGGGCAC
rnacentral:lncRNA from 1 species